rnacentral:lncRNA from 13 species
GUUCCAAGAGCCGAAUUGAUUCGGGGGAUAAAAGUCUAAACGCAACGGACGCGGGAUGGACCGGCUCCGGAACGAGUGGCAUCGCACAUCAUUUAAUUGUUGCAGAAUGCAACAAUCGGCUCCGGGAUGGAUGUCGUCGCGAUGUCUAGCUG